GAUGAACGCUGGCGGCGUGCCUAAUACAUGCAAGUCGAGCGAACAGACGAGGAGCUUGCUCCUCUGACGUUAGCGGCGGACGGGUGAGUAACACGUGGAUAACCUACCUAUAAGACUGGGAUAACUUCGGGAAACCGGAGCUAAUACCGGAUAAUAUAUUGAACCGCAUGGUUCAAUAGUGAAAGACGGUUUUGCUGUCACUUAUAGAUGGAUCCGCGCCGCAUUAGCUAGUUGGUAAGGUAACGGCUUACCAAGGCAACGAUGCGUAGCCGACCUGAGAGGGUGAUCGGCCACACUGGAACUGAGACACGGUCCAGACUCCUACGGGAGGCAGCAGUAGGGAAUCUUACGCAAUGGGCGAAAGCCUGACGGAGCAACGCCGCGUGAGUGAUGAAGGUCUUCGGAGCGUAAAACUCUGUUAUUAGGGAAGAACAAAUGUGUAAGUAACUAUGCACGUCUUGACGGUACCUAAUCAGAAAGCCACGGCUAACUACGUG
rnacentral:rRNA from 1 species